UACGUAGGGUGCGAGCGUUAAUCGGAAUUACUGGGCGUAAAGCGUGCGUAGACGGCUAUCUAAGUCGGGUGUGAAAGCCCCGGGCUCAACCUGGGAAUUGCAUUCGAGACUGAAUAGCUAGGGUACGGUAGAGGGAAGUGGAAUUUCCGGUGUAGCGGUGAAAUGCGUAGAUAUCGGAAGGAACAUCAGUGGCGAAAGCGGCUUCCUGGACCAGCACCGAACGUCAGGCACGAAAGCGUGGGGAGCAAACAGG
rnacentral:rRNA from 1 species